UGGGAAUCAAGCGGGUACAAACAAAGCGAAACCAACACGUAACGAGCCCUCGUGCGUUUUGCGUGUAAACCGGUUCGCGUUUGCGAUGAACGGUGGGUAAGCCGCUUGAAGCAUUGGUGUGCUUUGAUUUUGUAUGCAUUUUUUCGAUGCACUGUAAAAACAAUAGCAAGUGCAACGUGGGAAAGCUUCAUCCCCGUUAGGUCUUCAAGCAUCAUCUUUUGUGUUCUGCAGAAGAAAGAAAGUCCUAUACGUUUGGAACGACGUGAGGCUUUGGGUCUGUGGCGGGGCUGGCUAGAUUCCCAUGGCACAGAGAGCAGCUGCCUGAGUUUCAGGGCUCUGGAUAAAACUGUUUCUCUUCCAUGCCGAGAGAACGUAAUGACAGUAGGGCCCUUUGGGCCUGCCAGCCAUCUGCAGGUCCAGGUCCUGGUUAAGCAUGACCAGGUGCAGAGAAAAGUCUUCUUGCUACCUCUCAGCUGAUUAGUGGAGCCGGUUGAUUGGUGCAAAUGAGGAAGCUUUUAUCCUGCUUGAGUAUAAUCUGCUUGCAUCUUUAUUGGCUAAAAGCAGGCGUGAUGCUGGCAUGACCCAGGCUGCCCCAGGUACUGUGCUCAGAAAGGGUACUGACACUAAUGUCUUCUGACACACACAUCCCCCAUGCCCUUCCUGUUAAAGGUGCACACACAGAUACGCUGCAGAAAAAAAUCUCCAAAGCUUAUGCAUGCACUUUUUUAAUUACACUACUUUUGUGAAAAAUAUUUUUUAUAAUAUACACCAUAUUAAAAUGCACAUUCUCAGUGAAGGCGAGCGGGAACGUUCAGCACUUUAUAGCUGAAGCCUUUGGCGUAAUGGCUGCUUGUUUCCUUCUCAUCUUCUUUUGUCCUUAAAGGACGCUGCCUUGCCUAGCUGCACAGAUCCUUGGAGCAUCUUUCCUAUUUGUCUGUCCCUCUCUGUGCUGCAACACAGCCUGUUAUUUCAAGGAAAGUGCAACCUUUGCCUUGGGCUUUAAUUAUGUUCAAUUUGCCAAGCCGAGCCUGAAAAAUUCAGAGGGUAAAAAAGCUCUAUGACCUAUUUAUUAAUGCUGCGUUGGGUCUAAAGCUACACUGAGAUCAGCACUGCAUCACUCAACAAUAACACCCAUCUCUGGAGAACAGACUUCAAUCACGUUGUACUCCUCUCUUACAAUGGGAAUUCAUUACUUUAUAAUAGAUCACUGACCAGUUAAUCAUUAUUAAAAGAAAUGUAAAAGUUUGUAGUUAAGUGUGAUUUGUAAUUGGUGUACAUUGUUGGAAUUGUACAUGAAAUUGGCAAAAUGGAAAUUAUAUAUAUAUAUAUAUAUAUAUAUAUAUAUAUAUAUAUAUAU
ensembl:lncRNA